GACGAGCGCUGGCGGCGUGCCUAAUACAUGCAAGUCGAGCGGUAAGGCCUCUUCGGAGGUACACGAGCGGCGGACGGCUGAGUAACACGUAGGAACGUACCCCAAAGUGAGGGAUAACUGCUCGAAAGAGUAGCUAAUACCGCAUGUGAUCCACGGAUUAAAGCUUUAUGCGCUUUGGGAACGGCCUGCGUUCGAUUAGCUUGUUGGUAGUGUAAUGGACUACCAAGGCGACGAUCGAUAGCUGGUCUGAGAGGAUGAUCAGCCAGACUGGGACUGAGACACGGCCCAGACUCCUACGGGAGGCAGCAGUAGGGAAUUUUCCACAAUGGGCGAAAGCCUGAUGGAGCAACGCCGCGUGCAGGAUGAAUGCCUUAGGGUUGUAAACCGCUUUUAUUAGUGACGAUUAUGACGGUAACUAAUGAAUAAGGACCUGCUAACUACAUGCCAGCCGCCGCAGUAA
rnacentral:rRNA from 1 species